rnacentral:rRNA from 1 species
AACGUAGGUUCCGAGCGUUAUCCGGAUUUAUUGGGCGUAAAGAGCGUGUAGGCGGCCAGGUAGGUCUGCUGUGAAAACUCGAGGCUCAACCUCGAGACGUCGGCGGAAACCAUCUGGCUAGAGUCCGGAAGAGGAGAGUGGAAUUCCUGGUGUAGCGGUGAAAUGCGCAGAUAUCAGGAAGAACACCCGUGGCGAAGGCGGCUCUCUGGGACGGUACUGACGCUGAGACGCGAAAGCGUGGGGAGCGAACAGG